rnacentral:rRNA from 1 species
UGGGGAAUAUUGGACAAUGGGCGAAAGCCUGAUCCAGCCAUGCCGCGUGUGUGAAGAAGGUCUUCGUAUUGUAAAGCACUUUAAGUUGGGAGGAAGGGCAUUAACCUAAUACGUUAGUGUUUUGACGUUACCGACAGAAUAAGCACCGGCUAACUCUGUGCCAGCAGCCGCGGUAAUACAGAGGGUGCAAGCGUUAAUCGGAAUUACUGGGCGUAAAGCGCGCGUAGGUGGUUUGUUAAGUUGGAUGUGAAAGCCCCGGGCUCAACCUGGGAACUGCAUCCAAAACUGGCAAGCUAGAGUACGGUAGAGGGUGGUGGAAUUUCCUGUGUAGCGGUGAAAUGCGUAGAUAUAGGAAGGAACACCAGUGGCGAAGGCGACCACCUGGACUGAUACUGACACUGAGGUGCGAAAGCGUGGGGAGCAAACA